GUGGAGGCAGCAGUGAGGAAUAUUGCACAAUGGGCGAAAGCCUGAUGCAGCAACGCCGCGUGAGUGAUGAAGGCCUUCGGGUUGUAAAGCUCUGUCUUUGGGGACGAUAAUGACGGUACCCAAGGAGGAAGCCACGGCUAACUACGUGCCAGCAGCCGCGGUAAUACGUAGGUGGCAAGCGUUGUCCGGAUUUACUGGGCGUAAAGGAUGCGUAGGCGGAUAACUAAGUCAGAUGUGAAAUUCCUAGGCUUAACCAAGGAACUGCAUUUGAAACUGGUUAUCUAGAGUGCGGGAGAGGUAAGUGGAAUUCCUAGUGUAGCGGUGAAAUGCGUAGAGAUUAGGAAGAACACCAGUGGCGAAGGCGACUUACUGGACCGUAACUGACGCUGAGGCAUGAAAGCGUGGGGAGCAAACAGGAUUAGAUACCCGCGUAGUCCC
rnacentral:rRNA from 1 species